AUUGAACGCUGGCGGCAGGCCUAACACAUGCAGGUCGAGCGGAUGAGAGGAGCUUGCUUCUCGAUUCAGCGGCGGACGGGUGAGUAAUGCCUAGGAAUCUGCCUGGUAGUGGGGGACAACGUUUCGAAAGGAACGCUAAUACCGCAUACGUCCUACGGGAGAAAGCAGGGGACCUUCGGGCCUUGCGCUAUCAGAUGAGCCUAGGUCGGAUUAGCUAGUUGGUGAGGUAAUGGCUCACCAAGGCGACGAUCCGUAACUGGUCUGAGAGGAUGAUCAGUCACACUUGAACUGAGACACGGUCCAGACUCCUACGGGAGGCAGCAGUGGGGAAUAUUGGACAAUGGGCGAAAGCCUGAUCCAGCCAUGCCGCGUGUGUGAAGAAGGUCUUCGGAUUGUAAAGCACUUUAAGUUGGGAGGAAGGGUUGUAGAUUAAUACUCUGCAAUUUUGACGUUACCGACAGAAUAAGCACCGGCUAACUCUGUGCCAGCCGCCGCGGUAAAAC
rnacentral:rRNA from 1 species